AGACAAAAUUGACUUUCGUGAGACAAAAUUGACUUUUGUGUCACAAAAUUGAAUUUUGUCCAACAAAAGUCAAUUUUGUCUCACAAAAGUCAAUUUUGUCUCACAAACUU
rnacentral:sRNA from 1 species